CUUCGGCGAUGAAUUGACUGGUGGUUCGGCUGCCUGUCCAAAGUUAGUGUACUUGAGGUAUCAUCUCAGGGAAGAUGCUGAAAUAAAACCAAAACUAAAUUUUAAAAAGCACCAAGCUUCAUAUUGGCUAGCCUGUGAUAGCUCUUUGGGUGCUCACAAGUGGAUCUAUGAUUAAGGAUCUGUGGUUGACUAGGUUGUCAGCUUGUAAGUUGUCAAAAUUACCAGUAGGGUUAAAAUGGACCCACUUUAUGCUUCUUCUUUGGUAGGAUUUAUAGCUAUAGAUGGCCGUGUUUAUAUCUCAAUAUCAUUCAUGAGUGUGGCAAGUUGGCUCUGUGGGUAGCAGUAUUGCCUCAUACUUCCAGGGUCAGGAGUUCAAAUCCCAUCUCAACCAUGUGUGUAUGGAGUGUGCAUGUCCUUCUGUUGUCAUAUAGGAAUUCCUUUAGGUACUCAUAACUCCUAUGCAGUUAAUAUGGAGUGUGCAUGUCCUUCUGUUGUCAUAUAGGUAUUCCUUUAGGUACUCAUAACUCCUAUGCAGUUAAUAUGGAGUGUGCAUGUCCUUCUGUUGUCAUAUAGGUAUUCCUUUAGGUACUCAUAACUCCUAUGCGGUUAAGGUAACCGGCAUCUCUAAACUGUCCAUUGUGUGUUUGUUCUCUGAUGGACUGGCAUUCCUUCGGGGGAUAGACGCUGAUGACCUGCGUUGUGCUCAGUCAUCAGCGGGUCUUCAUUAAUAGCCCACGCAGUACAUGCUCCCAGUGCGUAACCCCAGAGCACCAUACCAGCCCACGGCCCUCAGCUUCUCUCUGUAUCC